rnacentral:rRNA from 1 species
AAACUUGAGAGUUUGAUCCUGGCUCAGAACGAACGCUGGCGGCAGGCCUAACACAUGCAAGUCGAGCGUGAUCUGCGGACUUCGGUUCGUGGUGAAAGCGGCGAACGGGUGAGUAACACGUGGGAACGUACCCCUUAGUACGGAAUAGCCUGGGGAAACCCGGAGUAAUACCGUAUACACCCUCCGGGGGAAAGAUUUAUCGCUAAGGGAUCGGCCCGCGCCUGAUUAGGUAGUUGGUGAGGUAAUGGCUCACCAAGCCGACGAUCAGUAGCUGGUUUGAGAGGAUGAUCAGCCACACUGGGACUGAGACACGGCCCAGACUCCUGCGGGAGGCAGCAGUGGGGAAUCUUGGACAAUGGGGGCAACCCUG